GAUGAGAAAUUGGCUGAUCCUGCACGUUCUGGCUGCAUGCUGCUUUGGGUGUAGAGCAGAAGAGAAUGUAAGACAGCCAACAGAAGAGGACAGAUUUGAUGCCCAUCUGAAUGUCACAGCAAAAUCAGUCCCCUUGACGAUCCAGAGGGUGCAGCUGUCUGACUCUGC